UUUAAAAGCAGUUUUCUUUAUUUGCUUUGUUUUGUUCAAAAUGAUAUCUGGUGCUCUUUUCUUCAUCUACAUUUCCUGGGCAAAGUCAGAAUACUGAAUAUCUUGAAAGAAAGAAAGGGAUGCCAGCAGACAGAUUGCCAAUCUUCUCCGUGUCUUUCAGACAUGUACUGUUUUCUUCUAGGCCCACCAAAGAAGAUUCCUUUUGAAGAUGAUCAAGGAGACAAAGGGAGAGAGAGCUUAAAUUUAGAUGUGGAAUACAGCAACUGAAGUACUCUCUUGGUCAGAUAUAGGAGUUGUCAUAAUUCAAUCCGGUAUCUCUGGCGCGUGGCCCUCAUUUGUACACACGGGGAAGGACUCCACAUCACCAACUUCACAAGUUCCAGAUUUUUCGGUGGAUCAGAAUCUGACACCAAAUCCUGAUGUAACAUGGAACAGUGUAAUGGCCACCAAAACUGUGAAGAGCAGGUGGCUGGACCAGGAGGUAAAGAGGAUGCAGAUGGAAAAGCAACUGAAAAAGAAAACAAACCAGUUGAGCCAUUUUCAUCCCCAACACGGAAUGACAGGUCCAGAGUUUUGUUCCUGGGUAUGUUAAAUUCGGGGCAGGCGGGGCGGUGGCGGAUGAUAGAGAAUGUGUUUUUCAUAGUGUUACAUAUCUAGGAAGGAUCUUA
ensembl:lncRNA